AAUUCUCAACCUUUUCAGCUUUUACAAGUUGAAUUGGCUUGGAUGUGGAGGUUUUUGCAGGCUUCUCAGAAGUCAGCUCCUCUUAAAUGCAUUAGCGGAACCUUUGUGGACCAGCUUUGGUGUGAUAAUUAUCUACGCCAUGGUUGUGAAGCAGCUAUUACAUGGGGUUCAGCUUCUAACAGUCCAUUGACUUGGACAAUUUCUGACA
rnacentral:misc_RNA from 1 species